rnacentral:tRNA from 1 species
GGCGCGGUGGCCUAGUGGCAAGGCGUCUGUCUCGUAAACAGAAGAUCGAGGGUUCAAAUCCCUCUCGUGCCU